UCUGUUGUAGUCUAGUUGGUUAGGAUACUUGGCUCUUACCCAAAAGACUCGGGUUCGGUUCCCGGCAACGGAA
rnacentral:tRNA from 1 species